ensembl:snRNA U6 U6 spliceosomal RNA
GGGCUGGCUUCGGCAGCACAUGUACUAAAACUGGAAUGACGCAGAGAAGAUUAGUGUGGCCCCUGCGCGAGGAUGGCACGCAAAUUCACGAAGUGUGUUAGUUUUCU